GGUUAGUUUAGUUUAGUUCCACACCGCCUAAAUUUUCGUCUGUGUAGAAGAGAAGAUAUUGUGCAAGUUACCACGCUACCUAUUUUUGGUAAAAAUCUCUAAGCGAAAAGAAAUGCCAGGUUGCAUCGAAUCGGAAAAAUAGUCGGUGAUAAAUGCCAAACGCAAAAUGUAAAAUCGAGGCGAAUUAAAACGUUGAAAGCGGAGAAUGUUGGGCACGUGACCGUCGAGUGACGAACGACGAGCGUUACGUCUGAUUCAUCGUUUUCUCGUGACGUACAAGUACGUCCUCCUCGUUAAUAACACGACGCGCAAAAUGAAGCUCCGGAAAACGUGGAGGACGCUGAUGUAAACGAGAACGACACCAAUGUCGCUUGAUAUUUUACUUCUUUGCGCGCCUUGCGUUCGUCGCCGACGUAACAAUUCUGGCGUGAGUUGAUGAAAUGAGGAUGAAAGGAAGUGUCACUCAUACGAAUGUAACGGCACCUGGAUUUUAUAUUUAAUGAUUUGCAUUUGCAUUGAGUACGAAUCAUACGUUUAUAUGAUUUAUUUUUCCCGAGAAUUUUCUAUACUAGGGAAAUCUAUAAAUACGGUCAAGUAGUAGAAGUGCUUUUAUAUUUUUGUUAUGUAAAUUUUAUAUGAUUGCAGUAAAACCUUAUUUUUGUAAA